AUGCAUGAUUACAUCUUUAGAAUAUAAGUCAUUUCUUUGAGUACUAGUUAUAAUUAUGCCAUACUGUGUUUGCUUUUUUGGCCGUUGGAGAUGUUCUAACAGAAUUUUUUUUUUUUUCAUUCAGUAUCAAUUCUUUGUUUUCACUUGACUGAAUUUACCUUCUUAUCCUUUUCUUCUCAGUAUCAUGAAAAUAUCCGUCUCUUCUGUCAAACUCGUGAGAACAUCUUCAAAUUAUUAAAUGGCUUGAAUGAAAUGCCAGAAACAAUGAGGCAGAUGCCGCCUCUUCCGGUGAAGGUUGACACAACAGCUACUUAACUCCAUCCUUCCCCCUUCCAAACAUUGAAACAUCCCAUAGCAAUCAUGAUCUUGCCUUGUCGUUGCUUCGAUUCUGGUGUGAUAGCCACCUAUGUGAUCCAACCUGCAGUGACACUGAUGGAAGUAACCGGCAAAAGCAAUCAAGUUGACCCUUUUCCAAUUUGAACUGACCUCUCUCUAGUCAAUUAGUUGGAAGUUUUAUGAAAUAGUUUGUGCAGUAGGUGGUGAUUUUAGAUUGGUAGAAAAUAGGAAACAAUAAUUUAUCAAUGGCUAGUGUUAUUAAGUUUUGUGUGAAUUUA